GGGCCCGCACAAGCGGUGGAGUAUGUGGUUUAAUUCGAUGCAACGCGAAGAACCUUACCAGGGUUUGACAUCCUGCGAAUUUCUGGGAAACCGGAAAGUGCCUUCGGGAGCGCAGUGACAGGUGGUGCAUGGCUGUCGUCAGCUCGUGUCGUGAGAUGUUGGGUUAAGUCCCGCAACGAGCGCAACCCACGUCUUUAGUUGCCAGCAUUUAGUUGGGCACUCUAGAGAGACCGCCGGUGAUAAACCGGAGAAGGUGUGGAUGACGUCAAGUCAUCAUGCCCCUUACAUCUGGGCUACACACGUACUACAAUGCUACGGACAAAGGGCAGCAAACUCGCGAGAGCUAGCAAAUCCCAAAAAGUGCGUCGU
rnacentral:rRNA from 1 species